GGAUAAAAAGAGAAGAAAAUAAGAAUAGGGAGGAGAGGGAGAGACAAGAGAGGAAGAGAAAGAGAGAGCAUUGAGAUGAUUGGCAUGACGGAGGGAACAAAAAGAAGAAAAAGAUUUGAGAGGGGACACUGCUAGUGGCCUAACCACCGUGUGGCCGUCCCUCUCAUGUAAGUUCUUCUUCCGAACGUCCAAACAGGAGAGAAGUGUGCGAUGUGUGCAGUCGGAAAGAAGGGACUUCGGGUGUGGCAGUUUCGCAGAACAGAGGAAUCCAAUGCGGUGGCAAUGGUGGACAUGGCAGGGGAAAGAGGAAACAACCAAAGGGAAGAAGAGGGAAAAAAAAAA